AACGCACCUUGCACUCCUUGGUAUUCCGAGGAGUAUGCCUGUUUGAGUGUCAUUAAAUUCUCAGAUCUCAAAUUGUUAUUAACGAGGCGAGACUCUGGAUGUGGAGUGUUGCAGGCUUUCAUUAGUCUGCUACUCUUAAAAGCAUUAGUGGUUACUGUUCUCCACUUUGGUGUGAUAAUUAUCUACGCCUUAUCAGUGUGAGAUGUUGAGUGUAGCUGCUUUCGAACAGUCUAGGAUUACUAGACAAUUUGAACCAUUUGACCUCAAAUCAGGUAGGAUUACCCGCUGAACUUAA
rnacentral:misc_RNA from 1 species